ensembl:lncRNA
UGUCGUUUGUGUCAUCAACUGCUGUUGUUUUCCUUGGCUGACCUGUUCAGUAUAUUGAUUUUAUUGAAUCAAUAUUUUUGAUCACUUGACUGGGUGGUUUGGAACAAAAGGUGUUAUUUUCUAAGUUGUUUAAUUCAGUUCAAUUCAAUUUCUUUGUUUAGCGCUUUUAACAAUUGACAUUUUCACAAAUCAGAUUUACAGAAAUAAAUACAUUCAGGAUAUAAAUUUUAAAUGUACAAAUUUAUCCCCAAUGAAUGAAUGCCUUUUAUUGUCACUAUACACAUGUACAAUGAAAUUAAGAAACAACAAAAAAGAGCACUGGAAAGGAGAGCCGUGAGCCGCAGCAACUGUGUGCGCCGCCAUCUUGCCUAAUAAUGAGCAAGCCAGGAGCAAUUGUGGCAAGCAAAAACUUCCUGAGACAAUAUGAGGAAAAAACCUUGAGAGGAACCAGACUCAAAAGAGAACCCAUCCUCAUCUGGGUGACAACAGAUGCGAUUAUAAAGAAAUACCUUCUAUAAUUGUGUACUACAUGGUCAAGAAAUGCAAUUGUGUGACCAGGAAAUUUGUUCGAGUUUUCAGUUUUACAGCUAUCAUAGCAAUUGUAGUCCUAAGCCAUCAUAGCAUAACUGUUCAUAUGAAUUGAGGUCAUAAGCCAUCUUCAUGGUUUUUAUGUGGUACCAUCCUCAGUAAUCUCAAUGAUCUUCAGGCGGUCCGUAUGGGACCAAAUUCAGCAUCAGCAUGUGGUUUCCAAGUGAUGAGAACUCCGAUCAGAAGUAGGGCAUCGGGAUGGAUCUAGCAGUUCCAGAGAGCAGAAGAGAGAGAGAGAGAGAGAGAGAGAGAGAGAGAGAUUAUUAGCUAUACUUACUGUCCUGUAAUGGUUAAGGACAAUGUACUUUGCAUGCAGAGUGCAAGCAGGGACUCCAGCAAGACUAGCUAUGACAGCACAACUAAAGGGAGAGCCAGAAGGUAACACAGACAUGAGGUUGCCUGGGACAUAAAGCGGCCAGCCACUCCAUUGUCAACAAACCUGAGUGAAC